UCCGGUUUAACACCGGCGGUCCCCCUAGAGUCCCCAACUUAAUGCUGGUAACUAAGGGCAGGGGUUGCGCUCGUUGCCGGACUUAACCGAACAUUUCACAACACGAGCUGACGACAGCCAUGCAGCACCUGUCUACGAGUGCCCGAAGGCAAAGGUACAUCUCUGUACCGGUCUCGCGAUGUCAAGGCCAGGUAAGGUUCUGCGCGUUGCUUCGAAUUAAACCACAUACUCCACCGCUUGUGCGGGCCCCCGUCAAUUCCUUUGAGUUUUAGUCUUGCGACCGUACUUCCCAGGCGGGAUACUUAAUGUGUGAACUUUGGCACUCAGAGGGUUAACUCUCCGAACGCCUAGUAUCCAUCGUUUACGGUGCGGACUAC
rnacentral:misc_RNA from 1 species